UACGUAGGGUGCGAGCGUUAAUCGGAAUUACUGGGCGUAAAGCGUGCGCAGGCGGUGAUGUAAGACAUAUGUGAAAUCCCCGGGCUCAACCUGGGAACUGCAUUUGUGACUGCAUCGCUGGAGUACGGCAGAGGGAGGUGGAAUUCCACGUGUAGCAGUGAAAUGCGUAGAGAUGUGGAGGAACACCGAUGGCGAAGGCAGCCUCCUGGGCUAGUACUGACGCUCAUGCACGAAAGCGUGGGGGAGCAAACAGG
rnacentral:rRNA from 1 species